GGGGCCUCAGUUUUUCCUCUGUAAAAAUAAAGGGCAAGGUAGGCAUACCUCAUCAGCAGCAUGCCUCUGCUUCAGGGGAACAGGUUGACGGCAGUUCUGCGGUCAUCAACACAGGACUUUCAAGAUCACCUAGGCAUCAUUUUCACCCAGGGAAGCUGGAAGCAGGGAAAAGGGGAAGGAGCAUAUUUGAGAGGCUUUUGGAAGUCAGACCAGGAGAUGGGACACGACUUCCACUCACAUUCCAUCAGCUGGUACUCAGGCACAGAGACACAGCCAUCUGCAAGAAGCUGAGAGAUAUAACCUGCCCGAGUGCCCAGAAGAAAGGAACCCAGAAUUUGGAGAAUACCUAGCAAUCUCUGCCAAGGGUCAUGUUUCUGUAAUCAUUUCUUA
rnacentral:lncRNA from 10 species